rnacentral:rRNA from 1 species
CGGACGGGUGAGUAAUGUCUGGGAAACUGCCCGACGGAGGGGGAUAACUACUGGAAACGGUAGCUAAUACCGCAUAACGUCGCAAGACCAAAGAGGGGGACCUUAGGGCCUCUUGCCAUCGGAUGUGCCCAGAUGGGAUUAGCUAGUAGGUGGGGUAACGGCUCACCUAGGCGACGAUCCCUAGCUGGUCUGAGAGGAUGAUCAGCCACACUGGGACUGAGACACGGCCCAG